rnacentral:misc_RNA from 1 species
ACCCUUGUGGAGGAGGACGCCGAAGGUGGGGCUAAUGACUGGGGUGAAGUCGUAACAAGGUAGCCGUACCGGAAGGUGCGGCUGGAUCACCUCCUAACAGGGAGACAACAAAAUGUUAAAUAUUAAUUUUGUCACCUUAGGUCGAUCGGUAUCUCAUGUUCUUAAUUAUUUUAAGAAUUUCAUUUCCUAAGUUUUUUCUAGGUCACACCCAUUACUUUCCCUGGGCCAUUAGCUCAGGUGGUUAGAGCGCACCCCUGAUAAGGGUGAGGUCCCUGGUUCAAGUCCAGGAUGGCCCAUAUCUCUAUGUUGGGGGUAUAGCUCAGUUGGUAGAGCGCCUGCUUUGCAAGCAGGAUGUCAGCGGUUCGAGUCCGCUUACCUCCACUGAUUACCACCUCUUCCAUAAAGUUUAAAGAAGGGAAUUGUUUUUUAGAUGUGAUUUAGUCCUGAACGAAUCUAGCUUCCUAAUAAAUACAUUAAGAUGCUGGACUCAUUGAAUUUUAUUCAUUGUUUUCAGAGAACCUUGACAACUGCAUAGAUUAUUUUUAAAGACAAUAAGCAUCUUUAAUGAUGCAGAUUUAUUAUUUGUGCUAAUGCAUUAAUAACAAUUCUAUUGAGCUGAUGCUUCAAUUUUUUGAAGUUAUUGGUCAAGCUACAAAGGGCUCACGGAGGAUACCUAGGCACACAGA